GACGAACGCUGGCGGCGUGCCUAAUACAUGCAAGUAGAACGCUGAAGAGAGGAGCUUGCUCUUCUUGGAUGAGUUGCGAACGGGUGAGUAACGCGUAGGUAACCUGCCUUGUAGCGGGGGAUAACUAUUGGAAACGAUAGCUAAUACCGCAUAACAAUGAAUGACACAUGUCAUUUAUUUGAAAGGGGCAAUUGCUCCGCUACAAGAUGGACCUGCGUUGUAUUAGCUAGUAGGUGAGGUAACGGCUCACCUAGGCGACGAUACAUAGCCGACCUGAGAGUGUGAUCGGCCACACUGGGACUGAAACACGGCCCAGACUCCUACGGGAGGCAGCAGUAGGGAAUCUUCGGCAAUGGGGGCAACCCUGACCGAGCAACGCCGCGUGAGUGAAGAAGGUUUUCGGAUCGUAAAGCUCUGUUGUAAGUCAAGAACGAGUGUGAGAGUGGAAAGUUCACACUGUGACGGUAGCUUACCAGAAAGGGACGGCUAACUACGUGCCAGCAGCCGCCGUAA
rnacentral:rRNA from 1 species